GAGAAAUGGUAUAGCUAAUUCCUAGCUAAUGUUCUAUUCCCUUUUAUUUUGAAUCAUUCAUGUACUUGGAAAACCUCUUUCAGAACCAUUGGGGACUUAGAUUGACCAUCCAAGAGAUAAAGUAGAUACUGGUUUCUUCAGGAAUAUAACUUCUUUAGGAAUAGAACCAGAACCAUUUUAUGACAUGCAUGAUGAAAGAGGUGGUUGAGAAUGACUUGGUGCAAUAACUUUUGUGAUUCAAGAGCUGAAGCACUCCAUGACCUUGACAGAAACUCCAUAGAAACUCGAGGACUCUCCGGUAAAGGGGUGCGGUGGCCACCGCUUGGAACAAAUUCAGGCUGCUGACAAUUAACCGGUAUAAAUAGUGUUGAACAGAUUACAAAAAGGGAAGCAAAGGGAAACUGGAAUAGUUGGAAUAGCUUGACUUCCUUUUGUUUCAAGUUUUGUUGAUGUUUUGCAUGUAGGAGCGUCUCUCCAUUGUUAGCCUUCACCAUCAUCAACUAUAAGCGAAUAAUCAUUAAUUAAUAUUUGGAAUUGUUACAAAAAUACUAGUAUUUUAUUUGUAUGAAUAUCUUUGGAAAUGGUUUGUGACAAAUAGUUUAA